AUACUUACCUGGAAGGGGAGAUACCAUGAUCAAGAAGGUGGGUUUCCCAGGGUAAGACUUAUCCAUUGUCAUGGCUUGUGCUGAUCCCUACGAUUUCCCCGAAUACUGGAAACUCGACUGCAUAUUUUGUGGUAGUAAGGAACUGCUCUCCCCUGG
rfam:Mesocricetus auratus contig039633, whole genome shotgun sequence.